rnacentral:rRNA from 1 species
AGUGGGGAAUCUUGCACAAUGGGGGAAACCCUGAUGCAGCGACGCCGCGUGAGCGAUGAAGCCCUUCGGGGUGUAAAGCUCUUUCGACCGGGAAGAUGAUGACGGUACCGGGAGAAGAAGCUGCGGCUAACUACGUGCCAGCAGCCGCGGUAAUACGUAGGCAGCGAGCGUUGUUCGGAGUUACUGGGCGUAAAGCGUGCGUAGGCGGUGGCCCAAGUCUGGUGUGAAAUCUCCCGGCUUAACCGGGAGGGUGCGCCGGAAACUGGGCUGCUGGAGUGCCGGAGAGGCAGGCGGAAUUCCUGGUGUAGCGGUGAAAUGCGUAGAUAUCAGGAGGAACACCCGUGGUGUAGACGGCCUGCUGGACGGUGACUGACGCUGAGGCACGAAAGCGUGGGGAGCAAA